rnacentral:rRNA from 1 species
GUAGGGAAUAUUGGACAAUGGGCGAAAGCCUGAUCCAGCCAUGCCGCGUGGUAGAUGAAGGCCCUCUGGGUUGUAAAUACCUUUUAUCUGGGAAGAAAUAUCUCGUUCUCGAGAAACUGACGGUACCAGAUGAAUAAGCACCGGCUAACUCCGUGCCAGCAGCCGCGGUAAUACGGAGGGUGCAAGCGUUAUCCGGAUUUACUGGGUUUAAAGGGUGCGUAGGCGGAAUUGUAAGUCAGUGGUGAAAGCCCCGAGCUCAACUUGGGAACUGCCAUUGAUACUGCUUUUCUUGAAUACGAUUGAGGUAAGCGGAAUGUUGCAUGUAGCGGUGAAAUGCUUAGAUAUGGCACAGAACACCAAUUGCGAAGGCAGCUCACUAAGGCGAUACUGACGCUGAGGCACGAAAGCGUGGGGAUCGAACAGGAUUAGAAACCCGGGUAGUCC